rnacentral:rRNA from 1 species
AUGAACGCUGGCGGCGUGCCUAAUACCUGCAAGUCGAGCGAACGGACGAGAAGCUUGCUUCUCUGAUGUUAGCGGCGGACGGGUGAGUAACACGUGGAUAACCUACCUAUAAGACUGGGAUAACUUCGGGAAACCGGAGCUAAUACCGGAUAAUAUUUUGAACCGCAUGGUUCAAAAGUGAAAGACGGUCUUGCUGUCACUUAUAGAUGGAUCCGCGCUGCAUUAGCUAGUUGGUAAGGUAACGGCUUACCAAGGCAACGAUGCAUAGCCGACCUGAGAGGGUGAUCGGCCACACUGGAACUGAGACACGGUCCAGACUCCUACGGGAGGCAGCAGUAGGGAAUCUUCCGCAAUGGGCGAAAGCCUGACGGAGCAACGCCGCGUGAGUGAUGAAGGUCUUCGGAUCGUAAAACUCUGUUAUUAGGGAAGAACAUAUGUGUAAGUAACUGUGCACAUCCUGACGGUACCUAAUCAGAAAGCCACGGCUAACUACGUG